rnacentral:rRNA from 1 species
UACGUAGGGUGCAAGCGUUAAUCGGAAUUACUGGGCGUAAAGCGUGCGCAGGCGGUUCGCUGUGUCCUGUGUGAAAGCCCCGGGCUUAACCUGGGAAUGGCAUGGGAAACUGGCGGGCUGGAGAGUGGCAGAGGGGGGUGGAAUUCCGCGUGUAGCAGUGAAAUGCGUAGAGAUGCGGAGGAACACCGAUGGCGAAGGCAGCCCCCUGGGCUAACACUGACGCUCAGGCACGAAAGCGUGGGGAGCAAACAGG